UUCAAGUGUAUGAUCAUUUCUUCCUCUUAAACACUUCAGCCUGCUUGAACAAAAUCAAAACAACUUUGGGAAUGUUGUUAAACUACCUUCGUCCAUCACUAGUGGCAGACAGAUUCCUCUGUGCAGCUUAUCUGUGAAAUGUGUGAGGUGUAGCUGUGAAUUUACCAGCAUGGAUCAGAGGAAGGACAGAAAAGAAGGAGCCACUUCUGCUUUUACCACACAGA